rnacentral:rRNA from 1 species
GGUGUACUUUUGCAUAAUGGGUCAGCAAGUUAACAUUAGAUGCGAGAAAAUUUCGUAGUUAAACCAAACAUUAAAAUAACGAUUAGUUUUACUAUGAUCAGGAUUAUAAAAGUCCGAACGGGUGAUUGUGGCAAAAAUCUCCGAAGAAUCGUGGUAGGUAUAGUGAAAGACAAUACUGACUAGGAUAGCUGGUUUUCUACGAAACAUA